rnacentral:misc_RNA from 1 species
GUAAUUAUUAAUUUUUUUCAGACGCUGAUUGCAACUGCAAAGGGUUUAAAUUGUCCAAUCGGCGGGCGAACCCACCGAGGAAACGUAAGUACUCAAAAGACAUGGGUAAGAGAUAGCAGGCAAAGCCCGCAAACUCUAGGUAAUGAUCCUUCCGCAGGUUCACCUACGGAAA